rnacentral:lncRNA from 1 species
AAUGGGUGUAUAAAAUUUUUUGUUGACCACGGGUCAAGUAGAAUUUGUGUAUAGAAACAAGAAAUCAAAUCGACCUUUUUCUCGAGUCAAAAACACUAAGAAAAUAAGGAAGAAAUUCACAAGAGGAAAAAAAAAAUAGUAGUAACGAGUAUAUCUGUGGGCAAAUACAAUUUGUUUGUCUACACAGACUCCAUGAAAUGAAGAAGAGGUAAAAGACUAAUAUUUAUGGAGGAUAAAAGACGUGGCAAUUGAUUGAAUAAGCCGAUUCGUUUACACGCAAUAGAUUUGAGUAAAUGAUCAACUAUUACAAUCAAUGAGUAUAGAAAAAAUCUCAAGAAAAGGCCAACGAUGGGAGAAAGCAACAACAAGAAAAAGCCAAGAUGGAACGUAAAAAUGAGCUAAAAAAAAGUUUGUAUUUGAUAUUUAACUGCUUGCAAGCUCACUCACCCGGAUUUCGGGUGGAAAAGUUGGUAUUGGCUCUGAUUACGUUUGAGCGGCUACGAUAUGAAGAAAGCACCAAACUUGGCGGAAAACGGAUCUCUGCAAGAGAACUGAUGGAACAAGUAUACGUACAGACGUAACCCUGGUUUUUUUGAUAAAAAAAAACUAUUGCGCCUCUUAUGAUGAAACGAAAAAAAAGGGAAAUCUAACGUUAUAAAAGAAAUGUCCGAUUUUCUCAAUUUUCUCAAAAUCCCCUUAUUUACUAUCGAAGUAAACGAGCUUGGUUUCAAAAUACCGGCACUCAAAGAAUCAACAAAAAUUCGUUUUAUUUUAGGUAAAAAAUUGUAGAAGCAUAUAUAUAGGAACAAGUAGAUAGGAAAGGGCAAAUUCUAAGGUUGACUUCAAAAACUCGUAAUAAGCGCUAUUGUAAUGGUGGAUUUGCGCCUGAUCGAAUAAUACUAAAAAGAUAACCUCAUUUGACACCGUGGCUUAGCACAAAAUAGCUCAAGGAGAAGGUUACGUCAUGAUGAGAAGGUUUGCCCAUGUAUCGGUUAUGUAGUAUGCACUAAGAACAAUAAAAUUGCCCACGCAAAAAAAAGAAAUAAGAUUAUAUUAAGCGAGUAUACUCGUGGAGAAAUUGUGGAGAAACCUUAGCAAAAUAACCUUUCAUUUGUGGAGUGUAGGUUUAGUGUUUCGCUUAUUAGUUUAGCAAGACUUUUGGAUCAAGGUAGGGGAGCAACGCUAAAAGAAAAGGUAGAAGGAAAAGACAAGGAACAAAAAAGAUGUGAGGAGGAAGUGAAAUAGUAGAUUGAGAAGACAUAAAACUAGAAAUUAUUGUUAGAUAUUGGAGAAUUGGGGAAAUCCUUAGAAAUGAGUUAAAAAAAGAAAGUGGGCUUUUGCAUAAAUAUUAGGCGAUAAAUGAAUUAAGUGGAUAAAUGGGUACUUUUUGUAAGUACAUGUUGGAAAGAGAAAUCUUCUGUAGAUUAGUUUUCUUUCAAUUGUUUUCAAAACAAUUUCAAAUUCUUUUUGAGGUUUUUUUCUACCUUUUUUGUACCUUUGGUUUUUGAAAUUUACUGUUUUAACCGAUAAACCCGGUUUUUCCAAGCGACUAGUACAGUUUAGUCGCUAAUAGAAAUCCAUUUUCAGACGGCAUUAUUGAAAUACCGAUAUAAGUACUUUUGUAAUUAGAAGCAAUGUGUGGACAAAAGGCUUGGCUGAGCAGAGAGAUACUUUUGUGGUCGGAUUUAGUCUCAUACCGAAAAAAAAAUAUUGGUAAAGGCAGAAAAAUAAAGAAAGAAAGAGGACAAAUGUUAAAAUUCACUA